GGCCUUCCCUUCCCGCAGCGGCGAGGUCAAGCUCCACACACCACUUGGAAGGAGCCAACGCCCACCACGAGUCCACAGCCCGAGCCGCCAUUCCCUCUUCUCCCCGGCGAAAGCUCGCCGCUGCUGCGUCUGCGCCCCGUGGCGGCACGACCCUCGGGGGAGACCGAGAGGGGCUUCUUGGAGCCUUCGGAGGCGACUGGGGAGGGGGAGUUGGAGCCGGUCCUCCGUGCGGCUUCUACUGUGGGUGGGCGGUGAUAAGGUGCGGUGCCUCGAGUUGCCGAGGUUUUCUCUGUCGCGUCGGCUGGAUCGUCUUCGGCCUGUCGGCGGCGGCGGUUCAGGUCAUGAUAGCAGUCAGUGAAGAUCAAUGAAGUGCUUGUGUUGAUAUCAUAAGUGCAACCUGAAUUUAUUGAACUCACAGCACUAAGACCGAUAUAAUAGUUUGAGAAUCCCAGUAAUGAGUUGCUUUUCUAUCUUUUGCAAGAAGAGAAGGGCAACAAGGCAACAAAGUUCUCACCAUAAUGAAGACCUCCCUGGUGGUACAAAUAUAAAAAGAUAUACUUAUAAGGAGCUGGUAAGGGCAACAGAAAAUUUUAACCCAUCGAAUAAGAUUGGUAGGGGCGGUUUUGGUUCUGUCUACAAGGGGCGGCUCAAGAAUGGAACAAUUGUUGCUGUCAAGGUCCUAUCUUUAGAGUCACGGCAAGGAGUAAAGGAGUUUUUGAACGAACUCAUGGCAAUGUCAGGCAUUUCACAUGAUAAUCUUGUGAAACUUUAUGGGUAUUGUGUGGAAGAGGACCAAAGAAUCCUUGUUUACAAUUAUCUUGAAAAUAAUAGCCUUGCACAAACACUUCUAGGCUUUGGCCACAGCAACAUCCAGUUCAAUUGGAGAACUCGAGUAAAUAUUUGCCUUGGUAUUGCUCGUGGACUCGCAUAUCUCCAUGAUGGUGUCAAACCCCACAUUGUUCACCGAGACAUCAAAGCAAGCAAUAUACUUCUCGACAGGGAUCUUACCCCAAAAAUUUCUGAUUUCGGUUUAGCAAAGCUUCUACCACCAGACGCAACACAUGUUAGCACAAGGGUUGCAGGAACACUAGGUUACUUGGCUCCUGAAUAUGCCAUUAGAGGACAAGUGACACGCAGGUCAGAUGUCUAUAGUUUUGGUGUUCUGCUUCUAGAAAUAGUUAGCGGGAGAUCUAACUCCAGUACAAGAUUACCAUAUGAAGAUCAGAUGCUUCUUGAAAAGUUCCCAGAGAUCACCAAUGGGGUUCUCCUCUUGCAGACAUGGAUGUAUUAUGAGCAGGGAGGUUUGGAGAAAAUCAUAGACAGCUCUUUGGGUGAUGACUUGGACGUUGCACAAGCCUGCAGAUUCCUGAAAGUUGGGCUUUUGUGCACACAAGACGUCACAAGACAUCGACCGACUAUGUCCAUGGUCAUCAGCAUGCUGACAGGUGAAACGGAUGUCGACUCAGAGAAGAUCAGUAAGCCUGCUAUGAUCACCGACUUCAUGGAUUUUAAGAUCAGGAGCAUGAGGAAAGGGAAUGAAGAAAUAGCCACAUCCUCCACGUCCACGUUCCCAUCCUCCAUCAUGGCGCAGGGUUCGCCUUUGCUCUCGGCAGAGACGACACAAGCCUCCAUGACAUUCACUGGGGUAUCAGAUCGCGAGUGACCUGAUCGAAUUGGUUACAAAUAUGGAGACCAUGUAAAGAAAACGAAGAUCAUGUAGAGAAAGAAAAGCUCCACUGAGUUUCAGGUAAUUGAGCCACUGAGCCAGGCAGCUGCUGUAUAUGCUGUCUUCACCACAACAAUGAUGCAAGCUCUGUGUCUGUGCAAGAGGGGACCCAGGUGCUCCUUCCAGACACUGAGGAUUCUAACAUGGCUACUGGGCAUGGCAAUGUCCUCACCAUCACCUGAUUACUUUCUCUUCUCCCUUAUGGAUGUGGUCACAGACUCACAGUGGCAGCUGACCCGCAUGCAUUCUUGUAGAAGUUCAUCUUUAGUAGUACUCUACUGCUGCUACUGACUGAACUGCCGAAGUGGUCCAUGCAUGCAUGUAACAAUGGCUGGCAGGCCAGAAAAUAACACAUGCAUGAUGAGUGAGAGCUGGUGCAGUGGGCCCUGGCAAUGGUGGUCACCAACAAAUCACUAAUUUACUAUGGUGGUGGACUGGUUUAGCUGUUACUUCUGCUGCUGGUGUUGAUGGAACAUGGACCUGUUUAGUGGUAAAUUAAGUAGCAUGAUAUGCGUUUAAGGCCUUGGAGCAAGCAUUGUACUGCUCAUUAAGCUUGGACAUUAUAUUGUCCAUCCUGUUGAAGUAGAAGAGAGUAUUGGCGGCGGUCUUUAUGAACUUCUGAGUAAACUGAGGUACGUGAAAACUUUUGAGCAAA